AAUGAUCCUAGUCUGAAUGAUCAUGGUCUAAAUGAUGAUCAAUUUGGUUAGGAUGUUAAUCCUCUUGUUCAUUUGAUAGAUGAUCAAGAUAGACCAAUUCGAGAACAUGUUCCAAUUUUGGAUUAUCUGAACUAAGAAUAGUAAGACCACACAUACAAGCUUAGCAAUUCGAAGUGAAAUCAGUAAUGUUUCAAAUGCUGUAAACAG
rnacentral:lncRNA from 1 species